rnacentral:rRNA from 1 species
GACGAACGCUGGCGGCGUGCUUAACACAUGCAAGUCGAACGGAAAGGCCCUGCUUUUGUUGGGUGCUCGAGUGGCGAACGGGUGAGUAACACGUGAGUAACCUGCCCUUGACUUUGGGAUAACUUCAGGAAACUGGGGCUAAUACCCGAUAGGAGCUCCUGCUGCAUGGUGGGGGUUGGAAAGUUUCGGCGGUUGGGGAUGGACUCGCGGCUUAUCAGCUUGUUGGUGGGGUAGUGGCUUACCAAGGCUUUGACGGGUAGCCGGCCUGAGAGGGUGACCGGCGACAGUGGGACUGAGAUACGGCCCAGACUCGUACGGGAGGCAGCAGUGGGGAAUAUUGCACAAUGGGCGGGCGCCUGAUGCAGCAACGCCGCGUGCGGGAUGACGGCCUUCGGGUUGUAAACCGCUUUCGCCUGUGACGAAGCGUGAGUGACGGUGAUGGGUAAAGAAGCACCGGCUAACUACGUG